GACGAACCGUCCAAACGUUAUUCGGAAUCACUGGGCUUACAGAGUUCGUAGGCGGUCUGGAAAGUUGGGUGUGAAAUCCCUCGGCUCAACCGAGAAACUGCGCUCAAAACUACCCGACUCGAGGGAGAUAGAGGAAAGCGGAACUGAUGGUGGAGCGGUGAAAUGCGUUGAUAUCAUCAGGAACACCGGUGGCGAAGGCGGCUUUCUGGGUCUUACCUGACGCUGAGGAACGAAAGCCAGGGGAGCGAACGGG
rnacentral:rRNA from 1 species